GGGGAGGGGGGAGGGGUCACCACUACCAGGCCAGGCUGCACCGCUUUAAGCUUUCAGCUCCCAGCACCUGUCCUCUUCUCACUGGGGGUCUUGAAGGUACAGCUGAGUCAAACCCGUACAUUAUAUUUGUGUAUGUGUCAACUACUUAUCAUAUCUACUCUAAGUAAAGCCCUCUCUCCUGGGUGGAAGGAGAAAACAAACACGGCUGUUAGAGGAGUUUGCGCUCUAACAGAACAGAUUCAUGCACCCGUGACAUGAGGACGUGGACCAGAGCUGGACCGCUGUGAGUUGCCGUCUCAGGUUCCCAGACACAGCCUUGGUCUCACGGUGGAGACCUGUUUGUAACCUCACUCCUGGGUGUGGGGAACGGAAACAAUGGUUGGAGGGUCUAGGAAAGCAGUCUGCCUGUGCUGGGCGUGGCUCCCACCUCUGCAGCUUUCGCCCAUCCAUCCCAGCUGCGGCCCUAUCAUGACCCGCAUGCUCAAGUUCACCACGUCCACCUCCCCAAGUGGAGCACUGGGGCUCUGAGGCACAUCUCCAGGACCCCAGGACAGAGAUGGCUAAUUGCUUACCCAAUAGACGUUUCUUCUUCCUCCUCAGUGUGUUUGUUUGCUAGGGCUGCCGUAACAAAGGACCACAGGCUGUGCGUCAAACAUCUCAUAGUUCUGGAGGCUGGAAGUCUGAAACCAAGAUUGAGGACAUGUUAGCUGGAGUUCUAGCAUCCCUCUUGAGACCUGAGACAACCUCGAAGUUGGAAGCUGUGGUCUUAGGAGAGUGGAGCAGAAGCUAGAAGGAGCCGGGGUCUCUGAUAAGACAGUGGGGCCACCAUGCCAGCCACGGGCUGCCCACCUCCAACUACUCUUCCGUCAUGAGAAGAAGCCUGGACUAGCCUGCUGAGGAUGAGAGACCGACCACAUAGAGCAGGGUGACAGGUACAGAGAAGAAGAAAAGGUCUGACAAGCAGAGCAGAAGGACCUUUUGAAAGACCCCGUGCCCUGAGCUCCUUGGGUCCUGCAGGGCCCAUGUUUUAUGGUUCUCAUGGCAUCAGUGAGGGAGAGCACUAUCUCUUUGGCUGCCUCCCGGAAAAGAGGAGACAUCUGAAAAGCAACCGACCAGAGAUAUGCAGUUUCUUUAAAACCCUCCCGCCUUCCUUUGAUCCCCUGGAAGAGGUGGACUUCGUGACCUUGGCCUUGGGAUGGGCUUCGCCUCUUAAAGAGAAAAUAGAUGCUGUCAGAUGAGAACUCCUUCUCCUUCCCAGUCUCAUACGUAUGAACCUGCUCGUGUUGGCACUCCUGUCCCUUCUCUUUACAAUUGAGGAGUACUUCCUCUCCAAUUUAUCGUGAAUCCUUCUACUGAUGCUUAUUUUGAUUCCAGCUCCUCCUGCCUUCUCAGGAACCUGACCACAUCUCUCUUCUGCUUAUUUGACCUUUCCCUCUCAACUGGCUUUGAGUACCCUCAAGUCUUUCCCAUUUAUCAACUACAGCAAAGCAAAACCAAAAAAUGCCAAACUUGACUUCUUUCUUGAUCCGCGUUGUCAUAAGCUGGCUCCCCACAUAUUCCCAGCACCCCUAUUGAGGAGACAAAGCCGAGCGCGUUGGGGCUCAUCGCAGCAGGUGGUGGGGAGAACAGCAAAGCUUGGUAUUCAGAGGGGGGAAGACAAGGUCAGAGUUCACCCAGAACUGGAGGUUUGGUUAGAGGUGGGUCUUUCAGUGUGGGGAUUGAGGAUGGAGUAACAAUCAUGAUACCACAGUCCAGGAUUGGCAGAGAUAGCAAAGUGAGAGAUUCAAAGAAUCUUCAGGUACAAACUGUAGAUGUUUUUCAUUGAAGAGUUGAUGGGUCUUUGGGGAAGUUUCUGUAGUAAACAAUUGCACUAUUUGCUUGGGAGGACAGUCCCAAAAGAGAAAAGAAAUGCUAAUAUAGACAGUGGGAGAGAAGCGCGUGCUACUGUGGGCAGUAAGGUGUGGUUUCACUUCUCUAUGUCCAGGCUGAGUGCGGGGGUUAGAAGGUUUUGGUUCUCAGCUUCGAGCUUCUGCCCCAGCUCCUUCCUCCCCUUCACCACUAAACAACUCAAAAUAAUUUCUCUGCUUGCUGACCUCAUUUCCUCUCCUCCUACACAUUCCUCAGCCCUCCAACCUGACUUCGGGCUCUUUCUAAAACAGUGUUCAUUAAGGUCCUCCAUGGCGUCCCUGUCUUUAAAUCCAGUUGAAACUUUUCAGGCCUCAUCUCACAUGGCCUCUCAGGGCUGUCAGUCUCUAGCUCCUUGGCAUCCAUGACUCCACACUCUCCCAGUUGUCCCACUGCCUGUAUCAUCACUUUCUCUUUCUCUUCUUUGCAGACUCAUUCUAUUCCAUCCUGUUAUUAAGUAUUAUUGUCUCACCAGACUUGGUCCUAAGACUUCUCCCCUUUCCCUUCAUACCUUCUCCUGUGGCAGUGCCAUGUAUUCUCAUAGCUUUAGCUACCACCUCUGCACAGAUACUUUAUAAAUUUAUGUCUCCAGCCCAACCUUUUUUUGGAGCUCUGGACCCACAUAUACAAAAGUCUAUAUGACGUCUCCUCUGAAUGUCUUCAAGGCAUUUCAAGUCAAGAUUUCUGUAGAAGAUAAGGCAGCGUUAGCACUGUGAGAAACAAACCCCCAAAUCUCAAGGGCUUAACACAUUUAAAGCUUAUUUCUCACUGAUCUAAGAGUGCAAAGUGCGAGUUCCUGAUCAGCUGGUUGUUUCUCUCCACAUGGUGAAUGAAAGGCCCAGGCUCCUUCCAUCUUGUGGCUCUGCCGCCUCCUAUGUCUUCAGAGUCCUCUGCAUUUAUCCAGUGGAGAGUGUAGGGGAGGAAAGAAAGACUUUCCUUCAACCACCCCUGGCUUCAAUAGCUCAGUCUAUGAAAUAAACUGACAGGCCGAUUAACAGGAGAAAAAGUAUACAAAUUUAUUAAUUUUUAAUAUUAUGUACAUGGGGAAUUACAGGAAAAAAAGUGAAUACCAAAAAAAAAAAUAUGGUGAGAAUUGAGAGCUUAUAUAUUAUUAGGGGAAGGGGAGGGGAGAUGCAGGCAACUUAGGAGAGAGUUAAUGAAUUUUAGGAAAAGAAUAGAUGUGAAGUGUGACAGUUUGGGACAGUUUGUCUGGGUGUAGAGUUGGUUUCUAGUCUUCUGUGUUAGGGUCAAUCUUCCCUGGUUGAUGAAACUCCUGGGGCCGGGGUGGGGGGGUGGGGGGGGGGUGCGGGGCAGCCUGGUUAAUGACAAUUGAGUUCCUUUUAGAGGAUCUGUCUUUAGGCAGAUAAGAGGAGUUCAGAGACAGCCUCUCCCUGCGUUUGCUAUUUUCAAGUGCCUUCAGCUCAAAAUAAUCAACAUACCAAAGCAGCAUAUUUUGGGGCUGCAUGUCCAGAAAUCCUUCAAUAGGAAAAAGGAGAGUAUAGAAGCUACACCUGGUUUUUAAAAGCUUUGGCCUGGGAGAUGACACACAUCACUUCUACUCAUGUUCCAUUGACAAAAAAACCCCCAAACAAACCAGUCUAGGGUUGAAUUGGCACUCCCCCAACCCUCCAAUAAACAGAUGUGUUUAAGUCCUAAUUGCAAGUAUCUGUGAAUGUGACCUUAUUUGGAAAUAGGAUCUUUGUAGAUGUGAUCAGGUUAAGAUGAGAUCAUAUUGGAUUAGGGUGGGCCCUAAUCACAUGAUUGGUGUCCUUAUAAGAUGAAGGAAAUUUGGGCACACAG
ensembl:lncRNA